ensembl:lncRNA
CCUGCAUGUGCGAGAGCGAGCGAGACCCGGGACAACGUCAUCCGCCUCGCCUGGACUAGUCCCCCGGCCGGAGGAGGGACAGUGGCUGCACUGUGCAGCCGAAGACUCACUUUGAUCGCACAGGAGACGAGCGACGCAACCGGUCCACCGUCCAUGCAAACUGCGCCAGGCAGCGUAUUGCACGCUGGAGGACACCGAGGAAAGUCACAGUAGGAGCGGCGCUUAGUGAGAGGUGAUGUCGGGGGGACAUGGCUUCUUCUCCGGUCACCCCAGCAUCGCUUGAAGGAGAAACACCUUCACCCACCGGGAACGAGGAGCCCGCGACCACCCGACAGAAGACAACAAUUUCUCAAAGGAGGUUCAAAACUAAUGCCUACAAGAUUACCAAGAGGAUGGUUCGGGGCUCUUACAUGACUCCGGGAAGUCAACACUUGGUGGAUGAGAUCCUUCACAGCAUGUUGUUUCUGGGCAAAAUCAACAACAUCCCCUUUUCUCCAGAAGAAAUCUUCCCUAAUCCUUUUGUUUUGGGUUCUUUAAUGAGAAGAUAUCCCAGGCCUUUUAAGUUGUAUUCGACUCAGCUUCCCAGGCGAAGUCCCUUCUCCUGUGUGCUCGACAUGAUCGUCCUGCAAAAUAACUCAGAGAAUGAAGAGCAAAUAAAGCAGAGUCUGCAAGAUCUCCUCACAGACUUGGACUUAGAAGAGAAUAAUAAAAAAACAGCUUUCGUCUCGUCCACCAUCUGCAUUUCUCAAAAAUCCCAAACCAACAAAUCAGAAAGGUACUGCGGAGUCUCCAUGUCCACCAAAGGUCCUAACGCUGGGAAAAUUAUGAUUGCUGCCUCCUGUCUUAGCAAAUGGCAUAAAUAUGUAUCUGGUGCGGUGAUGACCUAUUAUCCAAACACAGUCCAGAAAGAUUACUUUGAUGGAACAAUUGAAGUACCUGGAAAUAUCAGGUGUGAGGCUUUUUGUCUCCGUGAUGGUGCCAGAAUGAAGCCUUGCAGAUCAUGUAAGAAUUUGUUUGGCUUGAACACAGAAGACCUCAGAGAGUGGCCAUAUGGUAACUGUGCUGAAGCUGAGAGCCUGAGCAAUUUGCUUGAAAAUGAGAGAGAAGUUGAAACACAUGUGGAUGAAUACUCAGCUGAAAAGGACAACAGGCAGAGAGCUGAGGAUGAGGUUGAUGGGUUCUUAGAACUGUGUUGCAAAGGAUUCGGUUUAACUGGACAGGUGAAUUUUACAACCCAGAACAAGAGUGAGAUUUCAUGAAAUCAUUUGCAUUCAUCAUUCUGAUAAAUCAAAGAUUCUCUGCUCUGACAGCAUCUGUGUGGAUUUUCUGUAAUCACAGAGACGUGUAUAAGCAUGUUUACUUUCCAUCUCCAUGUAAUUGUCACAUUUAAUAAUUAAAACUGGCUUCUAUGGGUUUUUGUUUGUUUGCUUACAUAUCUAGUGUUUAAUGCAAUAUGAAGCAUUAUCAGACAGCAUUUAUUGGGAAGAAUCCCAUGUUUAUACUGGUCUGUACCCAGGGUACACAGAAAAUAAAAACAUGUUUUCUUAUUAUGAUCCCAACUAUAAUUUACUUAAGC